rnacentral:rRNA from 1 species
UACGUAGGGUGCAAGCGUUGUCCGGAAUUAUUGGGCGUAAAGAGCUCGUAGGCGGUCUGUCACGUCGGCUGUGAAAACCCGAGGCUCAACCCCGGGCCUGCAGUCGAUACGGGCAAACUAGAGUACUGCAGGGGAGACUGGAAUUCCUGGUGUAGCGGUGAAAUGCGCAGAUAUCAGGAGGAACACCGGUGGCGAAGGCGGGUCUCUGGGCAGUAACUGACGCUGAGGAGCGAAAGCGUGGGGAGCGAACAGG